rnacentral:lncRNA from 1 species
AUGUGUACAGAAAAGCAAAGAGGGGGCAAGGGGAAGAAAGGCAGCACUGGCAGUGGGGUGGGAAGGACAGAAGUCCUUCCCUGCUGCUUUGCAGGUGGGGAGAAGGGAGGGAUGGGGGACAGGAGCGGAGGGCUCAGGGACGCGCAGUCAUCCCGCCCCAGGAGCCUCGCUCUGCUUCUAUCCCCAUCCCUAACUAGUCCCCCUCUCCCUGUCCUCCAGAAAAUUUUCCUGAUGGGAGAGACUCCCAGGGAGGGGAGCAACCUGCGCUUGGUCCAUAAGAUCAUAAGGAGAGUGUUUUUUACUCGCAUCGUCCAGGUCACCCCAGCACCUGGGGUGGCAGAAAUCAACAAGCAAGUACAAGAGAGAGAACGCUGCUUCCGGUACAUCCUUUACGAGCUCCGUGGGAUCCAGGCCGAAGACGAUCUCCCGGUGGCCAACCUCGGGAGGACUAUGUACCUACACAUCCACUCCUCCCGCACCCUGGCCUGGAAGACCCUCUUCCUGAAAGUCCUGACCCUGCUCACCUGCCACCAUCCUCAGGCCACGGUGCUGCUUUUACUAGAGCACUCGCUGCCCCUGGACGGGUACACCCCGCCCCACUGCUGGCCGGGUAUAGAGAGAUCCCAGCCGGGCCGGCCCCAGAUGGGCCCACUCCAGAUCCCUCCUUCGCGACUGCCUGCCCCAACUUUUCUCCCUGAGAGGGCCUGA